UUACACACAUGCAUCACAUACACAAGGGGGCCAUACUGAUCACAAGAUACAUACAUACAUCCUGCAAAACAGAGUUAGGCGUCCUAACGUUCCAAACUUCGGAGGCCCGAAACUCUAUCUUCCAAGCCGAAUUUGGGAAAUCUAAUUUCGCCGAAAAUGGCAAAGCCGUUGAAUUUCAUGUGUAACUUUUUCUGUAGAUCAAUUUUCGUAUAAAAAUCGCCCCGAU
rnacentral:lncRNA from 1 species